rnacentral:rRNA from 1 species
AACGAACGCUGGCGGCAGGCCUAACACAUGCAAGUCGAACGCCGUAGCAAUACGGAGUGGCAGACGGGUGAGUAACACGUGGGAACGUACCCUUGGUUCGGGAUAACUCAGGGAAACUUGAGCUAAUACCGGAUACGUCCGAGAGGAGAAAGAUUUAUCGCCGAGGGAUCGGCCCGNGUCUGAUUAGCUUGUUGGUGAGGUAACGGCUCACCAAGGCGACGAUCAGUAGCUGGUCGAGAGGAUGAUCAGCCACAUUGGGACUGAGACACGGCCCAAACUCCUACGGGAGGCAGCAGUGGGGAAUAUUGGAUAAUGGGCGCAAGCCUGAUCCAGCCAUGCCGCGUGAGUGAUGAAGGCCCUA